GUAAAUAUAGUUUAAAAAACACUAGGUUGUGGACCCAGAGAUAGAAGUAUAAACACCCUUCUUAUUUACC
rnacentral:tRNA from 1 species